CCCCUGGAGGUCCGCGUCCCUGCUGCUCCGUCACGUCGUGGAGCGGAGACACGCCGCUGGAAGUUCCUCGUCCUCAGCCCUCUGAGUGGACGGGGGGCCCUCCCGCGGCCCGCAUGCUCGCCAGUGGCGGGAGGUUGCCUCGCCAGCUCCCCCUCCCCUCAGGCGUUUAUUUCGGGUCUGUGCUUCUGAGAUUUUCUCCUGGAAUCGCGGGGUCUGUCCAAGCUGGACCAAGGCUUGAGGUCACCCUCUUAAAAUAAACGCUGAUGGCCACUUUCAACCAUCUCAGCAGAAGCCAGGAAUACAGAUGGGUUAUCCAGGAGAGAUGUACAGAGAAACCUCUUGUCAGAUGGAGUUAAUUCCCAUGACGCACGCAGGAGAUCCCCAAGGUUGAACAUUUCACACCAGCAGAACCACUGCCAGCUUGGAUGGCAAGUGACAGAGGGUACAAAAGAGGGCUUUUAAUCCCGGAAGAUUCUAGGGGCAGGAAACAGGCUGAUCAAAGUGUGCAGCCAUGAACAGGUGCUACCCUUCAUGGAAAGGAACCGAUGGCUCCUGGGGAGGCAGCUCAGGCCCUAAAACCUAACACCGCUUGCCCCACUGGGUUCUGUAACCGGUUGAAACCAGUGAGGCCUUUUCCUUCCAGUCUCCCGUCCUGAAGGGCAGUGUGCUGUGUCUUUUCCCUGGGGCCUUAUGCCUCCCACUCAUCUUGGGGAGCAAAUCACAAAGCUACCGACAGGAGUGACGCCCCAGGCUGAAUUGUACCCACCUCUCACCCAUACCUAAUUUAAGACAGAGACGGGGGCCUCUGUAGCCGACCAGACUUGUAACUUUGAUGGGAUGACACUUUUGGUGAUGUUAGGAUGAGAUGGUGACAAGGUCCAUCUGAGGCGGAAGUAUGCCCUCCCUUCACGUACGUGUCCUGGUCCCCCAAGCCCAAGCCCUGGAAGUUAGCAGAGCCUCCUUGUAAUCUGAAUGGACCUUGGAGCCUUGUGUUCUCAGUGGAAAAUAAAGAUGACAGUAUGAGACUAAAGUAACACAGCUCUCCUGAGAGGACUGCAUCUCACAGCUGUGUUGCAGGUUUCAGUCACCUUUGGGCUGCUUUGUUCCAGCCUAGAGUUAACCAGCAGAAUACCAGAAACUCCCAUGCUCAUGAGGGAAUGGUAUUCUGUUGGGUCUAAUAGAAUUAAC
ensembl:lncRNA